UGGGGCGUAGCCAAGCGGUAAGGCAGCGGUUUUUGGUACCGCCAUUCGGAGGUUCGAUCCCUCCCGCCCCAGCCA
rnacentral:tRNA from 6 species